UACGAAGGGGGCUAGCGUUGUUCGGAAUCACUGGGCGUAAAGCGCACGUAGGCGGAUUUUUAAGUCAGGGGUGAAAUCCUGGAGCUCAACUCCAGAACUGCCUUUGAUACUGGCGACCUUGAGUCCGGGAGAGGUGAGUGGAACUGCGAGUGUAGAGGUGAAAUUCGUAGAUAUUCGCAAGAACACCAGUGGCGAAGGCGGCUUACUGGUCCGGUUCUGACGCUGAGGCGCGAAAGCGUGGGGAGCAAACAGG
rnacentral:rRNA from 1 species